AUUGUCAGAACGUCGUUAUUCAUUUCUCUUUGGCUUUUGUCCACCCCAAAUGUAUUAAAAAAUAAAGAAGAAAUUGUGAGCACUAUAAUUAGAGCACUAUAAUUUUCUCCAGGGAUUAGGGCUGGGGGAUUAUAGCACCACUGCCCCCUAGUUGUGUUUUACUCCAAAGGUUUUUAUAUGUAUACCUUUGCUGAUGCAUUUCCCUUGGACUUCAUCUGAGUUCCUGGCCCUAGUUCUGAAUGUUUCUUUCUCUAUCUCAUGUUUUUUUUUAUUGAGUUCUCUUAGGAAAAUAAAGAAUGGUUUGAGAUUUGACUGUAAAAUGAUGAGUCUCUUAAAUGUGAUGGGACUUAUCCUGUUGUCCUUCAGAAUCAUUCAUCAAACCUCCCAGUAGCAGAGAUUUGCUACCGCUAAAGAUACAGAAAGAAGGUCCAGCAACGAAUUAUAAUAGCUAAAGACUACACAACUGAAUUGUUCAGCAAUAGAUGACUAAUUGAAUAAACUGUAAUAUAUUCAGCUUUGAAAAAAGAAUGAAGACUAUCACUAUAUCCUGCUAUACCCUGGAUUGUACCCUGGAUAUAUUGUUAAGCGGGGAAAAAAAAUAAGGUGGAAAAAAUUUGUACUGUAUGCUAGCAUUUAUCUUAAAAGGCUGUGUGUCUUUGUCUGUCCCUUCCCUACCAAGGGUAAAACUAAAACAAACUGUGUGUGUUUUUGUUUUUGUUUUUUUGGGAUGGAGUCUUGCUGUGUUACCCAGGCUGGAGUGCAGUGACGCAACCUCGGCUCACUGCAACCUCCACCUCCUGGGUUCAAGCAAUUCUCCUGCCUCAGCCUCCGAAGUAGUUGGAAUUACAGGCACGCGCCACCACGCCCAGCUAAUUUUGUAUUUUUAGUAGAGACAGGGUUUCACCAUGUUGGCCAGGCUGGUCUUGAACUCCUGACCUUGUGAUCCACCCACCUCAGCCUCCCAAAGUGCUGGGAUUACAGUCGUGACCCACCACGCCCGGCCUACAAACUUUGUUUUUAAAUGGUUACCUUUAGAGAACAGGAUGGAAGGGACAGGGAAAGAAGCUGGUUUUUCCAAAUAUGCUGUUUUGUGUAUUUGACUUUGGAACCAUUUUAAGCAUUUUACUUCAUUAUUAAAACAAAAUUAAUUUUUUUAACCUUUUUUAAAAGUUGCAAAAAUUAUGUAGAAUUCCAAUGUACAGUUCACCCAGCUUCCCUUAAUGUUGACAUUUUAUAUAACCGUAGUAUAAUGAUUGAAACCAAGAAAGCAACAUUGAUAUGAUACUCUUUAACUAAUCUACAGACCUUAUUCAUAUUCAUUCCUUCAGUUUCCUAGAAAUAUUUUUUUUCUGGCCCAGUAUCCACAUUCCAUUUAGAAGUUGUGACUCCCUAACCUUCUGCAGUCUGUGACAAUUCCUUUGUCUUUCCUUAUCUUUCAUGACCUUGACACUUUUGAAGGGUACUGACCAGUUGUUUUGUGGACUGUUCUCAGUCUGUAUUUGCCUGAUGUUUUCUUAUGGUGAGAUACGAGGUUAUGCAUUUUAGGCAAGAGUACCAUAGAAAUCAUAUUAUGUCCUCCUCAGUGCAUUGUAUCAGGGGAUGCGUGAUAUGAAUACAUCUUAUUACUCGUGAUGUAACUUUGAUUACUUGGUUAACGUGCCAUCUGCCAAGUUUCUCCACCAUAAAAUAACUGUAUUUAUCUCUAAAAAUUAGUAUCUUCUGAGUGAAUAUUUUGAGACUCUAUCCUGUUUUUCAUCCUACUUCUGUCCAUUAAUUUUAGCUUCCAUCAAUGGUUCUUGCUUUCAGUAAAUUAUUACCAUGGUGUUUAGCUAAUGGUAGUUUUCUAUUCUCAUCAUCCCUUCUACAUUUAUUAGUAAGAAUUCUAUUAUAACGAAGUUGUCCUUUGUCUCCCAUUUAUUUAUAUCAGUAUUGACUUGUGGAUUUUGUUUUAUUUUAUAAUCCAUUACUCUAUUUAUUUUGUUUUCAGGUUGUCCAGAUUUGGCCGUUGGUAGCUCCUUUACAUUGGCUUCUGUGUUUUUUUGACAUGCUCCCAUUGUUUUUUGAGUGCUUCCUUACGGUUCAAGUCCAUGUUACAUUUUUCGUGCCCCCACGUUGGAAUUGACCAUUCUCCAACGAUCCUUGCUUUCUUUUACUUGAGAACAGCAUUUAGAAACCAAACUCUGGCUACUAGGUAUGCCCACUGCUACUAGAUUGUUAUUGCUUCUAGACCCUCUGUGCACAUGGAGCUAGGAAACAGAUGUAUGCAUACUUAAGCAAGCACUCAUACCACACAGCUAUAUUUAUUCUGUAUAUAUUCAUCCAUAGUGAAUUUUCUAAUUACAGUGCAGCAUCACAGGGUUCAUUAUAGUCUCCUCCUCUUCCUUAUUUGUAACUUCUUUCUCUGGCAGGAUGAAGCCUGGACCUUGUUAUCAUAACACAGUAUAUUUAUUCAUUUAUUCCAUCCUAGUAUACACAUCAAGUAGUUUUAGAAUUGCUAACCCAUAUUUUGUGAAAAAUACAUUUACCAGAAUAUAAUGUUGGUCUAUAGUGGGUUUUUUGGUCUUUAGUAUUACAGUAUAUAAUCAGAAUACUAUUUGCCAAAGUUGCUUAGUUUAGUUAUUUUCUUCACGACCUGCUUCAGUGUGGUUAAAUUAAUAGGGGGAAACAUCAAUUCCUAAAACUCAAAAGCAAAAUGAAACAAUUGAAUCUAGCUGUGUAUCAAGUGAAUAGCUUAUAACUCACAGAAAAGGAUUAUUUCAAGGGUCUGUAUUUCAUAUGUUUAUACAUUUUUAUUUCUAUAUAAUUUCAUUUUGCAACUCCAGUGUACCCUUUAUCCAGAUUCACCAGCUGUGUUUACAUUUUGCCUCGACUCUAUCAUUUUUGCCCUUUCUCACUCUCUCCUUUGUGUCUCUGUCCCUUUCUUUCUCUGAGUACAUGCAUAGACACACAUCACUUUUUGUCUGAGCUAUUUGAGAGUAAGUUGCAGGCAUUGUACCCCCUUGUCCCCUAAAUACUUUCAGUGUGUAUUUCACUAAGUACAAGGACUUUCUCUUGUAUAUUCACAGUUCAGUUCUCAGAAUCAAGAUAUAAAAAUACUAUUCUCCAAUCCACAGUUCAUAUUCAAGUCUUAUCAUUUGUUUCAACAUAUUUUAUAGCUGUCAUUUCCCCAGUCCAGGAUUCAAUCCAGGGUCACCCAUUACCUUUAGCUGUCAUGUCCCUUUAGUCUUAGUUAAUCUGGAUCAGUUCCUCAGUUUUUCUUUUUAUUUUAUGACCUUCAAGUUUUUGAAGAGUACUGGCCAGUUUUUUUGUAGGUUGUCCCUCCGUUUGGAUUUGUCUGUAUUUCCUCAGGAUUGGAUCUAGGUUUAGUACUACUACAGAACUGACACAGCCAUCUCAAUAUAUCACAUCAGGAAUAACAUGGUGUCCAUUUGUCUGAUGAUGGUAACUUUGAUCACUUAGUACAGUGAUAUCUGUCCGAUUUCUCCACUUAUAAAGUUUCUGUUUUUCCCUUUGAAAAUAAUAAGUAAUUUUGGAGAAAUAAAUUGGAACUGUACCUGUUCCUCAUCAAAGUAUCACCCAUUGGUUUUAGCAUCCAUUGAUUAUUUUUGGCUGAAUCAGUCAUCACUAUGAUGGUUACAAAGUGAUGAUUUUCUAACUGUCGCUCUGCACUGGUUAGUUAGCAUUCUACUAUAAGGAAGAGUGUUCCCUUUUUCUCCCAUUUAUUUAUUUUAUGUCAAUAUGAAUACAUGGGUUCUUUUUUUAUUUAGUGAGUUAUAAUCUGUUACUAUAUUUAUUUCGAUGUUCUGUUCAUAUAGUUCUAGACUUAGCCAGUGGGAGUCUCUUCGAGCUUUAAGUGUUAUUCUCAUAUGUCUCCCUCGUUCUUUGAGUAAUUUCUUACAUCUGACACAGUAAUAUGUUUCAGGCUUAGUCUAUACUUUCUCUACCACAGCCCUAACUACAGUUAGCCAUUUCUCUAGCACACUGUGGCUCUGUUGUAUAGGUAAUGGUUUUUAGCAAUCAAGAUUCAGGAGUUGGGUGUGUUCAUUGCUACUGCAAUGAUGUUUCUUCUAGGCCCUCUCAGUGGACAUAGCUGGAAUACACACAGAAAGAGAGACUAUAAAUAUGCAUAUGUGUAAAUAUAUGCAUUCAUUUGUAUAUGUGUGUAUAGACACAAAUGCAUACGUAAACAUGCAUAUCCGUAUCUAUUUCUGUACCUUUAUGUAUAUGUAUGUGUGUAUAUAAAUACACAUGUACACCUAACCAUGAGUUAAUACUGAUACCUCCAAUUCAUUCUAGCACCACAGAGUUUAUUUUAGUUUUCCUCCUUUCCAUAUUUAUAAUUUCCUUCUCCAACAGUGAAAGCCCUUACUCCUGCUACCCCCGGUAUCUUUACUCAUUUGCUGAAACCUAGAUUAAACAGAAAGUAGUUUCAGGAUUGCUAACCUUGCAACUACAGAAAAUAAACCUACUUUCAAGUGUGUAUUUAAAACACUAUACAUACUUAGCAGGAUAUAUCCCUAAGUGGCUGGGGAGAGAAAAAUCUUGAAAUUUUUUGGUAAUUAUGUUUUGAGUGAGUUGUAAUGGUAUUGGUUUUCUGAAAAUGUUAUAUUGUGGGACAAAUCAAAUGAGUACUGAUAUUGAUGUGGUUGAAAAUUGAGUUUUUCAACAUGAUUAAAGAAAUACAGAUGUGAGGUUGAUGAAACUAAAAUUCUUCAAUCAUAAUUUGAACUAAAAAUAUCAGUAUGACCUCAUGAUGUAUUUUGUCUUAUAUAUGCAUAUGUUUAUAUACACUCUACACACACAAACACUUCCUAUAUUUGCCCACUGAGUAGGCACUAGAAACCAUGAUCAUCCCUAGUAGCAGGGACCACCUCUAGGGUAUCCAGAUUGUUGUCUGUAAGUUUUCUACCCCUGUCUAUGGCUGGACUGUUUCUUAGCCACUUGCCCUGCAGCCUGGCAAGAGAGAGGAAAAGUUAGUUUUUCCCAUGCUAUGAAGACCUUUGCUCUGGUCUUCCUGGUGGCCCUGCUGUGCACAGAGACCCCAGGGUCUGUUCUGUUGCCCAUGCUUGGUGGCCUCACACAUAAGCUCUUGCCUGCCAGCUAUGUGCUCCUUCCUCAGUGGGGUCUGGGUCUCCCCGGAAGUGACCAGGAUUGUUGAGUCUAAGAAAGUGACAGUGGAGAACAAGUUCUGCCUUCCCUCCUGCCCCCAAGAACAACUUGGUAAACCAGGAUGUAUUGGUUCAUUUUCACACUGCUGAUAAAGACAUACCGGGGACUGGGACGAAAAAGAAGUUUAAUUGGACGUACAGUUCCACAUGGAUGGGGAGGACUCAGAAUCAUGGCGGGAGGCGAAAGGCUCUUCUUACAUGGAAGCGGCAAGAGAAAAUGAGGAAGAAGCAAAAGCAGAAACCCCUGAUGAGCCCAUCAGAUCUCAUGAGACUCAUUAACUAUCGUGAGAAUUGCAUGGAAAAGACCAGCCCCCAUGAUUCAGUUACCUCCCUGCUGAGUCCCUCCCACAGUGUGGGAAUUCUGGGAGAUACAAUUCAAGUUGAUAUUUGGAUGGGGACACAGCCAAAUCAUAUCACUCUGCCCCUGGCCCCUCCAAAUCUCAUGUCUUCACAUUUCAUGCCUUCCCAACAGUCCCCGAAAGUCUUAACUCAUUCAGCAUUAACCCAAAAGUCCACAGUCCAAAGUCUCAUCUGAGACAAGGCAAGUCCCUUCUGCCUAUGAGCCUGUAAAAUCAAAAGCAAGUUAAUUACUUUCUAGAUAUGAUUUGGAUACAGGUAUUGGGUAAAUACAGCCAUUCCAAAUGGGAGAAAUUGGCCAAAACAAAGGGGGCCCAUGGAAGUCCAAAAUCCACCGGAGCAUUGAAAUUUUAAGGCUCCAAAAUGAUCUCCUUUGACUUCAGGUCUCUCAUUCAGGUCAUGCUGAUGCAAGAGGUAGUCUUGGGCAGCUCCACACCUGUGCCUUUGCAGGGUACAGCCUCCCUCCCCCAGCAGCUUUCUUGGGCUGGCAUUGAGUGUCUGUGGCUUCUCCAGGCACACAGUGCGAACUGUCAGUGGAUCUACAGUUCUGGGUCUGGAGGAUGGUGCCCCUCUUCUCACAGCUCCACUAGCCAGUGACCAAGUAGGGACUCUGUGUGGGGGCUCCGACCCCACAUUUCCCUUCCGCACUGCUCUAGCAGAGGUUCUCCAUGAGGACCCCACCUCUGCAGCAAACUUUUGCUUGGACAUCCAGGCAUUUGCAUACAUCUAAAAUUUAAGUGGAGGUUCCCAAAUCUCAAUUCUUGACUUCUGUGCACCCUCAGGCUCAACACCACGUGGAAGCUGCCAAGGUUUGGUGCUUUCACCCUCUGAAGCCACAGCCUGAGCUGUACAUUGGCCCCUUUCAGCCAUGGCUGGAACAGUUGGGACAGGGCAACAAGUCCCUAGGCUGCACACAGCACAGGGACCCUGGGCCCAGCCCACAAAACCACUUUUUCCUCCUAGGCCUCCGAGCCUGUGAUGGGAGGGGCUGCCAUGAAGGUCUCUGACAUGGCCUAAAGACUUUCCACAUGCUCUUGGGGAUUAACAUUAGGCUUCUUGUUACUUAUGCAAAUUUCUGUAGCCAGCUUGAAUUUCUCCCCAGAAAAUUGAUUUUUCUUUUCUAUCGCAUAGUCAGGCUGCAAAUUUUCCAAAUUUUUAUUCUUUCCUUCCCUUAUAAAACUGAAUGUUUUUAACAGAACCUAAGUCACCCCUUGAAUGCUUUGCUGCUUAGAAAUUUCUCCCACCAGAUACCCUAAAUCAUCCUUCUCAAGUUCAAAGUUCCGCAAAUCUCGAGGGCAGGGGCAAAUGCCACUGGUCUCAUUGCUUAAAUGUAACAAAAGUCACGUUUGCUCUAGUUCCCAACAAGUUCCUCAUCUCCUUCUGAGACCACUUCAGCCUGGACCUUAUUGUCCAUAUCUCUGCCAGCAUUUUGGGCAAAGCCAUUGAACAAGUCUGUAGGAGGUUCCAAGCUUUCCCACAUUUUAUCUUCUUCUGAACCUUCCAAACUGUUCCAACCUCUGCCUAUUACCCAGUUCCAAAGUCGCUUCCGCGUUUUCGGGUAUCUUUUCAGCAACGCCCUGCUUUACUGGUACCAAUUUACUGUAUUAGUUCAUUUUCAUACUGCUAAUAAAGGCAUAUCCAAAACUGGGAACAAAAAAA